rnacentral:misc_RNA from 1 species
AAGGGGCGCCGUCGGCUCGCGCCCGCACGCCUGCUCGUGGCGGCGGAGCAGCGAGUGGUGGCGUCGGCUUGGGGUGACCAGGCCUGGGCGGCGGCCGGUGGAAGGCGCGGUCCGACUGCUGCUGCUAGAGAUCGGCGAGCUGAAGGCGGCGGUCGAGCGAGAGAUUGUCGGCCGUGAGGGAGGAGAGUUGGAGGCGGCGGCCGAGCGAGAGAUUGCCGGCCAUGAGGGAGGAGAGCGUCAGCUCCAUGGAAGAAGGCUCCCGCGCCCUGCUGCCGUGGGGGGAGAGAAACCAGGGAGUGUGGUGGCUGGUGG